rnacentral:snRNA from 1 species
GUGCUUGCUUCGGCAGCACAUAUACUAAAAUUGGAACGAUACAGAGAAGAUUAACAUGCCCCCUGAGCAUGGGUGACAUGCAAAUUUGUGAGGAGUUAAAAUAAAUA